GCCUGGGUGGCUUAGUUGGUUGAGCGUCCAACUCUUGAUUUCAGUUCAGGUCAUGAUCCCAAGGUCAUGGGUUCGAGCCCCAUGUCAGGCU
rnacentral:tRNA from 1 species